GACGAACGCUGGCGGCGUGCCUAAUACAUGCAAGUAGAACGCACAGUUUAUACCGUAGCUUGCUACACCAUAGACUGUGAGUUGCGAACGGGUGAGUAACGCGUAGGUAACCUGCCUGGUAGCGGGGGAUAACUAUUGGAAACGAUAGCUAAUACCGCAUAAUAUUAAUUAUUGCAUGAUAAUUAAUUGAAAGGUGCAAUUGCACCACUACCAGAUGGACCUGCGUUGUAUUAGCUAGUAGGGGAGGUAACGGCUCACCUAGGCGAAGAUACAUAGCCGAACUGGGGAGGGGGUCGGCCACAAUGGGACCGGGACAAGGGCCCGGCUCCUAAGGGAGGCAGCAGUAGGGGAUCUUCGGGAAUGGACGGAAGUCUGGCCGGGGCACGCCGCGUGAGUGAAGAAGGUUUUCGGAUCGUAAAGCUCUGUUGUAAGAGAAGAACGGGUGUGGGAGUGGAAAGUUCACACUGUGACGGUACCUUAUCAGAAAGCGACGGCUAACUACGUG
rnacentral:rRNA from 1 species